ACGGCUGCUCAGUAACACGUGGACAACCUGCCCUCGGGUGGGGGAUAACCCCGGGAAACUGGGGCUAAUCCCCCAUAGGUGAUGGGUGCUGGAAUGCCCCAUCUCCGAAAGCGCUUAGCGCCCGAGGAUGGGUCUGCGGCGGAUUAGGUAGUUGGUGGAGUAACGGCCCACCAAGCCUAAGAUCCGUACGGGCUGUGGGAGCAGGAGCCCGGAGAUGGACCCUGAGACAAGGGUCCAGGCCCUACGGGGCGCAGCAGGCGCGAAACCUCCGCAAUGCGGGAAACCGCGACGGGGUUAGCCGGAGUGCCCGUGCAUUGCACGGGCUGUCGGGGUGCCUAAACAGCACCCCAUAGCAAGGGCCGGGCAAGGCCGGUGGCAGCCGCCGCGGUAAGACCGGCGGCCCGAGUGGCGGCCACUCUUAUUGGGCCUAAAGCGUCCGUAGCCGGCCCAGUAAGUCCCCCGGGAAAUCUGGUCGCUUAACGAUCAGACUUCCGGGGGAUACUGCUGGGCUAGGGACCGGGAGAGGCCGAGGGUAUUCCCGGGGUAGGGGUGAAAUCCUGUAAUCCCGGGAGGACCACCUGUGGCGAAGGCGCUCGGCUGGAACGGGUCCGACGGUGAGGGACGAAGGCCUGGGGAGCGAACCGGAUUAGAUACCCGGGUAGUCCAGGCUGUAAACGAUGCGGGCUAGGUGUCACCGGAGCUACGAGCUCCGGUGGUGCCGGAGGGAAGCCGUUAAGCCCGCCGCCUGGGAAGUACGGCCGCAAGGCUGAAACUUAAAGGAAUUGGCGGGGGAGCAG
rnacentral:rRNA from 1 species